CACUAUCGUUAACUGAAUACAUAGGUUAACGAGGCGAACCGGGGGAACUGAAACAUCUAAGUACCCCGAGGAAAAGAAAUCAACCGAGAUUCCCCCAGUAGCGGCGAGCGAACGGGGAGCAGCCCAGAGUCUGAAUCAGCUUGUGUGUUAGUGGAACGGUCUGGAAAGUCCGACGGUACAGGGUGAUAGUCCCGUACACCAAAAUGCACAGGUUGUGAACUCGAAGAGUAGGGCGGGACACGUGGUAUCCUGUCUGAAUAUGGGGGGACCAUCCUCCAAGGCUAAAUACUCCUGACUGACCGAUAGUGAACCAGUACCGUGAGGGAAAGGCGAAAAGAACCCCGGCGAGGGGAGUGAAAAAGAACCUGAAACCGUGUACGUACAAGCAGUGGGAGCACCUUCGGGUGUGACUGCGUACCUUUUGUAUAAUGGGUCAGCGACUUAUAUUCUGUAGCAAGGUUAACCGUAUAGGGGAGCCGCAGGGAAACCGAGUCUUAACUGGGCGUUAAGUUGCAGGGUAUAGACCCGAAACCCGGUGAUCUAGCCAUGGGCAGGUUGAAGGUUGGGUAACACUAACUGGAGGACCGAACCGACUAAUGUUGAAAAAUUAGCGGAUGACUUGUGGCUGGGGGUGAAAGGCCAAUCAAACCGGGAGAUAGCUGGUUCUCCCCGAAAGCUAUUUAGGUAGCGCCUCGUGAAUUCAUCUUCGGGGGUAGAGCACUGUUUCGGCUAGGGGGUCAUCCCGACUUACCAACCCGAUGCAAACUACGAAUACCGAAGAAUGUUAUCACGGGAGACACACGGCGGGUGCUAACGUCCGUCGUGAAGAGGGAAACAACCCAGACCGCCAGCUAAGGUCCCAAAGUCAUGGUUAAGUGGGAAACGAUGUGGGAAGGCACAGACAGCCAGGAUGUUGGCUUAGAAGCAGCCAUCAUUUAAAGAAAGCGUAAUAGCUCACUGGUCGAGUCGGCCUGCGCGGAAGAUGUAACGGGGCUAAACCAUGCACCGAAGCUGCGGCAGCGACACUAUGUGUUGUUGGGUAGGGGAGCGUUCUGUAAGCCUGCGAAGGUGACCUGUGAGGGUUGCUGGAGGUAUCAGAAGUGCGAAUGCUGACAUAAGUAACGAUAAAGCGGGUGAAAAGCCCGCUCGCCGGAAGACCAAGGGUUCCUGUCCAACGUUAAUCGGGGCAGGGUGAGUCGACCCCUAAGGCGAGGCCGAAAGGCGUAGUCGAUGGGAAACAGGUUAAUAUUCCUGUACUUGGUGUUACUGCGAAGGGGGGACGGAGAAGGCUAUGUUAGCCGGGCGACGGUUGUCCCGGUUUAAGCAUGUAGGCUGGUUGUCCAGGCAAAUCCGGAUAAUCAAGGCUGAGGUGUGAUGACGAGGCACUACGGUGCUGAAGUAACAAAUGCCCUGCUUCCAGGAAAAGCCUCUAAGCAUCAGGUAACAUCAAAUCGUACCCCAAACCGACACAGGUGGUCAGGUAGAGAAUACCAAGGCGCUUGAGAGAACUCGGGUGAAGGAACUAGGCAAAAUGGUGCCGUAACUUCGGGAGAAGGCACGCUGGUGUGUAGGUGAAGUCCCUGCGGAUGGAGCUGAGACCAGUCGAAGAUACCAGCUGGCUGCAACUGUUUAUUAAAAACACAGCACUGUGCAAACACGAAAGUGGACGUAUACGGUGUGACGCCUGCCCGGUGCCGGAAGGUUAAUUGAUGGGGUUAUCCGUAAGGAGAAGCUCUUGAUCGAAGCCCCGGUAAACGGCGGCCGUAACUAUAACGGUCCUAAGGUAGCGAAAUUCCUUGUCGGGUAAGUUCCGACCUGCACGAAUGGCGUAAUGAUGGCCAGGCUGUCUCCACCCGAGACUCAGUGAAAUUGAACUCGCUGUGAAGAUGCAGUGUACCCGCGGCAAGACGGAAAGACCCCGUGAACCUUUACUAUAGCUUGACACUGAACAUUGAGCCUUGAUGUGUAGGAUAGGUGGGAGGCUUUGAAGCGUGGACGCCAGUCUGCGUGGAGCCAACCUUGAAAUACCACCCUUUAAUGUUUGAUGUUCUAACGUUGGCCCCUUACCGGGGUUGCGGACAGUGUCUGGUGGGUAGUUUGACUGGGGCGGUCUCCUCCCAAAGCGUAACGGAGGAGCACGAAGGUUAGCUAAUCCUGGUCGGACAUCAGGAGGUUAGUGCAAUGGCAUAAGCUAGCUUGACUGCGAGCGUGACGGCGCGAGCAGGUGCGAAAGCAGGUCAUAGUGAUCCGGUGGUUCUGAAUGGAAGGGCCAUCGCUCAACGGAUAAAAGGUACUCCGGGGAUAACAGGCUGAUACCGCCCAAGAGUUCAUAUCGACGGCGGUGUUUGGCACCUCGAUGUCGGCUCAUCACAUCCUGGGGCUGAAGUAGGUCCCAAGGGUAUGGCUGUUCGCCAUUUAAAGUGGUACGCGAGCUGGGUUUAGAACGUCGUGAGACAGUUCGGUCCCUAUCUGCCGUGGGCGCUGGAGAAUUGAGGGGGGCUGCUCCUAGUACGAGAGGACCGGAGUGGACGCAUCACUGGUGUUCGGGUUGUCAUGCCAAUGGCACUGCCCGGUAGCUAAAUGCGGAAGAGAUAAGUGCUGAAAGCAUCUAAGCACGAAACUUGCCCCGAGAUGAGUUCUCCCUGAGACUUUAAGUCUCCUGAAGGAACGUUAAAGACGAUGACGUUGAUAGGCCGGGUGUGUAAGCGCAGCGAUGCGUUGAGCUAACCGGUACUAAUGAACCGUGAGGCUUAACCUUACAACGCCGAAG
rnacentral:rRNA from 1 species